CUACGUGCCAGCAGCCGCGGUAAUACGUAGGUCCCGAGCGUUGUCCGGAUUUAUUGGGCGUAAAGCGAGCGCAGGCGGUUAGAUAAGUCUGAAGUUAAAGGCUGUGGCUUAACCAUAGUACGCUUUGGAAACUGUUUAACUUGAGUGCAAGAGGGGAGAGUGGAAUUCCAUGUGUAGCGGUGAAAUGCGUAGAUAUAUGGAGGAACACCGGUGGCGAAAGCGGCUCUCUGGCUUGUAACUGACGCUGAGGCUCGAAAGCGUGGGGAGCAAACAGGAUUAGAUACCCUGGUAGUCCGCACAGUAAACGAUGGAUGCUCGCUGUUGGCCUUUUUGGUCAGUGGCUUAGCGAAAGCGUUAAGCAUCCCACCUGGGGAGUACGCCGGCAACGGUGAAACUCAAAGGAAUUGACGGGGGCCCGCACAAGCGGAGGAACAUGUGGUUUAAUUCGAUGAUACGCGAGGAACCUUACCCGGGAU
rnacentral:rRNA from 1 species